GACGAACCGAGCGAACGUUGUUCGGAAUCACUGGGCUUAAAGGGCGCGUAGGCGGGUGCUCAAGUCCGUGGUGAAAUCCUCCGGCUCAACCGGAGAACUGCCUCGGAUAUUGGGUGCCUCGAGGGUGGUAGGGGUAUGCGGAACUAUCGGUGGAGCGGUGAAAUGCGUAGAUAUCGGGAGGAACACCGGUGGCGAAGGCGGUUCUCUGGGCCUGACCUGACGCUGAGGAGCGAAAGCGUGGGGAGCGAACAGG
rnacentral:rRNA from 1 species